CUUAUGGGAAAGUUAUCAGUACAGAUUCACAUUCACUUCAGAACCACGAUAUGGCCUUGAAGUCCUUCCAUAUUAUGACACGGCUGUACCACCAUGAGAUGGCCAAGUUGUUCCUGAAGAGCAUUCGUGGCAACGACAUAACUGAGGUCACAGUAGCACUCCAGAUUUUCAGAGAUGUAUUCCAGGAGGUGCCCCAGACCGUGGAGCUAAAGGAUGAAGUCAUGCAGACUGUGAUAAAUUUAAUUAAGGAGGACACCAAAGCAGU